rnacentral:rRNA from 1 species
AGAGUUUGAUCAUGGCUCAGGAUGAACGCUGGCGGUAUGCUUAACACAUGCAAGUCGAACGGAAUCUUAGGAUUUAGUGGCGGACGGGUGAGUAACGCGUGAGAAUCUGGCUCUAGGUCGGGGACAACAGUUGGAAACGACUGCUAAUACCGGAUGUGCCGAGAGGUAAAAGGCUUGCUGCCUAGAGAUGAGCUCGCGUCUGAUUAGCUAGUUGGUGUGGUAAGAGCGCACCAAGGCGACGAUCAGUAGCUGGUCUGAGAGGAUGAUCAGCCACACUGGGACUGAGACACGGCCCAGACUCCUACGGGAGGCAGCAGUGGGGAAUUUUCCGCAAUGGGCGAAAGCCUGACGGAGCAAUACCGCGUGAGGGAGGAAGGCUCUUGGGUUGUAAACCUCUUUUCUCAAGGAAUAAGUUCUGAAGGUACUUGAGGAAUAAGCAUCGGCUAACUCCGUGCCAGCAGCCGCGGUAAUACGGAGGAUGCAAGCGUUAUCCGGAAUGAUUGGGCGUAAAGGGUCCGCAGGUGGCGAUGUAAGUCUGCUGUUAAAGAGUCUAGCUUAACUAGAUAAAAGCAGUGGAAACUACAAAGCUAGAGUGCGUUCGGGGUAGCAGGAAUUCCUGGUGUAGCGGUGAAAUGCGUAGAGAUCAGGAAGAACACCGGUGGCGAAAGCGUUCUGCUAGACCUGUACUGACACUGAGGGACGAAAGCUAGGGGAGCGAAUGGGAUUAGAUACCCCAGUAGUCCUAGCCGUAAACGAUGGAUACUAGGCGUGGCUUGUAUCGACCCGAGCCGUGCCGGAGCUAACGCGUUAAGUAUCCCGCCUGGGGAGUACGCACGCAAGUGUGAAACUUAAAGGAAUUGACGG